rnacentral:rRNA from 1 species
AUUGAACGCUGGCGGCAGGCUUAACACAUGCAAGUCGAGCGAGCGGCGGACGGGUGAGUAAUGUCUGGGAAACUGCCUGAUGGAGGGGGAUAACUACUGGAAACGGUAGCUAAUACCGCAUACCAUCAGAUGUGCCCAGAUGGGAUUAGCUAGUAGGUGGGGUAAUGGCUCACCUAGGCGACGAUCCCUAGCUGGUCUGAGAGGAUGACGAUCCCCACUAGAACUUAGACACUGUCCAGCCUCCUACGGGAGGCAGCUGUGGGGAACAUUGCACAAUGGGCGCAACCCCGAUGCAUCCAUGCCGGUUAUAUGAAGAAGGCCUUCGGUUUGUAAAGCACUUUCAGCGAGGAUGCGUUACGCGCAGAAGAAGCACCGGCUAAGUCCGUGGCAGCAGCCGCGGAAAUUC